rnacentral:rRNA from 1 species
GGCGGACGGGUGAGUAAUAUAUAGGUAAUGUGCCCUAGAGAGGGGGAUAACAGUUGGAAACGACUGCUAACACCCCAUAUGCCUUUAAGACAAAAGUCUGCAAGGGAAAUAUUUAUAGCUCUAGGAUCGGCCUGUACGGUAUCAGCUAGUUGGUGAGGUAAUGGCUCACCAAGGCAAUGACGCCUAACUGGUUUGAGAGGAUGAUCAGUCACACUGGAACUGAGACACGGUCCAGACUCCUACGGGAGGCAGCAGUGGGGAAUAUUGCACAAUGGGGGAAACCCUGAUGCAGCAACGCCGCGUGGAGGAUGACACAUUUCGGUGCGUAAAUUCCUUUUAUAUAGGAAGAUAAUGACGGUACUAUAUGAAUAAGCGCCGGCUAACUCCGUGCCAGCAGCCGCGGUAAUACGGAGGGCGCAAGCGUUACUCGGAAUCACUGGGCGUAAAGAGCGUGUAGGCGGGUUAAUAAGUUUGAAGUGAAAUCCUAUGGCUCAACCAUAGAACUGCUUUGAAAACUGUUAACCUAGAAUAUGGGAGAGGUAGAUGGAAUUUCUGGUGUAGGGGUAAAAUCCGUAGAGAUCAGAAGGAAUACCGAUUGCGAAGGCGAUCUACUGGAACAUUAUUGACGCUGAGACGCGAAAGCGUGGGGAGCAACGGAUUAGAUACCCUGGUAGUCCACGCC